rnacentral:ncRNA from 1 species
UAGGUGCUUAUGAGAAUAAGCUUAAAAGGGAAGCUUGGUGAAAAUCCAACACUGUCCCGCAACUGUGAAUUCGGAGCAAGUCAAUAGAUGCCACUGUGUAAAUGGGAAGGCAUUGACUUGUGUUGAUGAAAAGUCAGGAGACCUGCCUAAUUC